AUGAACUUAACCAUAUUGACUUUAAUUUCAAAAAGACAAAAAGAACUAACAACCCCAUUCAAGUUUUUGGCCUUUUGUGCCUUUUAUUUUAAACUUUUGUUAAAAUCAAUUCACCAACUUCUUUGAAAUUUUUACCACUAACUACGGUGUUUUGAUCCCUCAUUUUUAUGUUGGUACGUGGGCAUAAGACCGAAGGUCUUGUCAAACAAAAAAAUAUAAUUAAUGAAUUCUUUUAUCAUCCUCCCACUCUAUAUUUUCUACCAAACAUCAUUUUGAUCAAAAC
rnacentral:lncRNA from 1 species